rnacentral:rRNA from 1 species
UACGGAGGGGGCUAGCGUUGCUCGGAAUCACUGGGCGUAAAGGGCGCGUAGGCGGCCAUUCAAGUCGGAGGUGAAAGCCCAGGGCUCAACCCUGGAAUUGCCUUCGAUACUGUUUGGCUAGAGACCGGAAGAGGUAAGUGGAACUGCGAGUGUAGAGGUGAAAUUCGUAGAUAUUCGCAAGAACACCAGUGGCGAAGGCGGCUUACUGGUCCGGUUCUGACGCUGAGGCGCGAAAGCGUGGGGAGCAAACAGG